rnacentral:misc_RNA from 1 species
AGGUCAAGAAACUGUGCACAGAUAAUUAGCAUGGCAGAAAUGUGAUGGAUCUGUGAAAAUACUAGGAUGAAUUUGUGAAGGCAUAAGGAUGUAUGGGUUAAGGAUUGAACGCAUGAAGGUCAAAGUGUACCUAUUGAGCAAAAGUUGAGUGUGGAGAUUGAGAUGACAUGUGCAUUGUAAACUAAGAAAUGCAUCAGUAUAGAAAGUUACAAAUAUUGGUUUGGAAAGAAAUUGAUGUGUGAACAUAUGAUGAUGUGGGAAAUACAGUGAGAAAGGUUCUAACAGUUCUAAAUCCUUUUGAAAACAUAGCAUUAAGCCAGGUAGAGUAACA